GCCUCCCAAGUGCCGGGAUUAGAGGCGUGCACCACCAAUGCCCAGCUAAGUACCAGUAUUUUCAUAACCACUCUUGUCACAUUACCUCUCAAAGGGCAAGGUGAUUAACAUUCUGGAAUGAGCAUAAUAACAUCACCAGCGAUCAUUCUUUUUAAACCAUUGCAUCUUCCUUGCUUCUAGUGAACAGUGAUAAUGCUCAACGUAAUUGCUCGUUCUUUCCAAAAAAAUCAAAUAUUCAUUCAUUCAUUCAUUGAUUCAUUCAAUAAAUAUUCUGUGCCCCUAUGUGUUAGACACUGUUUAGGGACUCAGAUGCAGAGAAAACCCCACCUUCAUGGGCAUUCCAUCCUGGAGGAGGGGACUGACAGUCAGCAAUAUAAACUGCUGACUAUCAGUCAUAGUCAUAAAGGGAUACUAGCUAGGGUAAAAAUGGUGGGACAAGAAUAUGUAAAGCUAUGAAACCCUGUAAUUUUGGAUAAAGUGGCAAGGGAAGCUUCUGCUAAGAAGUGGCUUUUGAGCAAAAAGCAAAAGAUUGUUUGCCUUCUGUGGAAAGGUUUCCUAAGCAAAGGUCACAGGGGAUACCACAACCCUGAGGUGAGAAUGUUUAUUGACAUUUUUGAGGAAAAUGCAGAAGGCAGUGCUCACUAGUGUAAUGAGUAGAGGGGUCAGUGAGAUAAGAAACAGGAUCUGGAAAGUCCUUCAGGACAUGGGAAACUGUUGCCUUCCCUUAUGCAUAUGGAUUCCUGAGUUCUUCCUUUUUGUUUUUGACCUUUUCUCUGGCAACACAAUCAGUUUUGUAGUUCGAAGAGUUACAUUCAGAAUGGAAGGAGAAGGAAAUAGGUCUGCCUUCUUUCCUUCCUUCCUUCCUUCCUUCCUUCCUUCCUUCCUUCUUCUUUUGAUAUUUCUUUUCUUCUCCUCCUCCUUCUUUGAUUUUUGUUUUGAGAUAAUGUCUCACCAUGUAUCCUAGAUUAGUCAAGUGUGCCACUGUUCUGCCUCAGUAACACUGCCUAUGCCAGUACACUUCUCUACCCUAGGCUUUAAGACUGCUCUGUGUGUGUAUGUGUCUGUAUAUGUGUAUGUGUGUUUGUGUGUGUGUGUGUGUGUGCAUGUGUUUGUAUUUUCUUAUAUGUAUGUGUGAUUGUGUUUUGUGCAUGUCGAAGCACUGGAUGAGGUGUAGUAGAGCCUGUGCUCAUGGAGAAAUGAGUUUGCAGUAGACUCAGCAAUGCUGAAUAAGUUCGGUGAACAUGGAACACACAGAGGCAGUGUCUACAAACUGUGUAUGGCCUUGACAUUUCUCUGUCUAUCUCACAGGGGACUAUCCAGAAUAUGUGUCCUGAGACUUUGAUGAACACCUCCUUCCCCUACUGCCAUACAGACAUCUGUGCACAAACUCACAAAAUAACUUCUGUUCACAGUCUGUACUCUGUCAUAAACUUGCAACCCAGUGCUGAGUUGGAUAUAAGACCUCUGGGGAGACAGGACCUAGUGUGAUGCUCAGAAAAGGUAUAACAGGCAAAAACAGAAAAGUCAUCUCUGUAACCUCAGAAAGAAUUGACAUUGAUUGCUACAAAAGAAAUGCAAAAACCAAGCAGGACAGGUUUGGAGGCAUGCUGCCAGGUGUGGUAGCCUAUGCCUGUACUCCAGCACUUGGGAGAUGGAAGUGUGAGGGCUGUGAGUUCAAGAGGCCAGCCUGGACCAUGGAAUAAGAUCCUGUUGAAAAAGAAAAGUGACAGAAAAAAAGAAGAGGGGAGUGGGAGAGAGAAGGUAGAGAAAGAACCUAGAGAGAUACUGUAUAAAUAGCUUCAUAAAAAUCAUAUUUCUCUUGUCCAUAAA